CCCCUAGAUGUUCUGGGCCGCACGCGCGCUACACUGAACAGUUCAACAAGUCUUAACCUUGGCCGAUAGGUCUGGGUAAUCUUUGAACGCUGUUCGUGAUUGGGAUAGACCUUUGCAAUUAUGGGUCUUCAACGAGGAAUUCCUAGUAAGCGCAAGUCAUCAGCUUGCGUUGAUUACGUCCCUGCCCUUUGUACACACCGCCCGUCGCUCCUACCGAUUGAAUGGUCCGGUGAAGCGUUCGGACCGUGGCCUUUGGACGGUUCGCCGUCUGUUGGCUGCGGGAAGUUCGUUAAACCUUAUCAUUUAGAGGAAGGAGAAGUCGUAACA
rnacentral:rRNA from 1 species